GGGGCUAGCUCAAGUGGUAGAGCAUGUGCUUAGCAUACACAAGGUCCUGGGUUCAAUCCCCAGUACCUCCU
rnacentral:tRNA from 1 species